rnacentral:rRNA from 1 species
AUUGAACGCUGGCGGCAUGCUUUACACAUGCAAGUCGAACGGCAGCGCGGGCUUCGGCCUGGCGGCGAGUGGCGAACGGGUGAGUAAUACAUCGGAACGUGCCCAGUAGUGGGGGAUAGCUCGGCGAAAGCCGGAUUAAUACCGCAUACGACCUGAGGGUGAAAGCGGGGGAUCUUCGGACCUCGCGCUAUUGGAGCGGCCGAUGGCAGAUUAGCUAGUUGGUGGGGUAAAGGCCUACCAAGGCGACGAUCUGUAGCUGGUCUGAGAGGACGACCAGCCACACUGGGACUGAGACACGGCCCAGACUCCUACGGGAGGCAGCAGUGGGGAAUUUUGGACAAUGGGCGAAAGCCUGAUCCAGCAAUGCCGCGUGUGGGAUGAAGGCCUUCGGGUUGUAAAGCACUUUUGGCGGGAACGAAAAGGACUGUGCCAAUACCACGGUUCGAUGACGGUACCCGCAGAAUAAGCACCGGCUAACUACGUG